CUUGGCUUGUCAGGGCCAGGUGUGUGUGUGUGUGUGUGUGUGUGUGUGUCAGGGCUGUUGGGUGACAGUCACGAGAUUCUGGGCAGUUCUGUGCAUUUGAGUGCUUGGCAGACUCAGUUUAGAUGUAAUGUAAUAUAGUGUAAUAUAGUAUAAUAAAGUAAUUAAUGAGCCCUCUGAUAUCAGUGGAGUCAGAUGCAUCAUUCUCUCCCCUCAUGGGGGCUGCCUGCAAAUUCCAUGCAGCAGAGUGCCCCAGACAGCCCAAGCCCGUUUGCCAUCACUGAAAUUGUUUUACCCCAGUCUCAAUGAGGAGAACUCAUUCCUCAUUCCUCUCAAUGAGGAAAGCCCAGGCUGUCAGCAAGCACUAAAAGGGAAAGGCCAGUGCCUGAGCAAGGCUGUUCCUCCAAGAACACAGCACAGUCAGGCACCAAGCAGAGAUGUCAGAGUGCUGAUUUACAGCACACUGCAUGAUGAAACACAGGCUCUGCAGAAAUCCACAGCAGCACAACCAAAAGACAUCUAAAUCCCACUGGGUUUAUUGUGCUUCCUUUUUUAAACUCACUGGCUGCAAGAGUUACUGUUAGAUUUAAGAUUUCCUUUUUGAAGGCAAACUAAAGAAAUAAAAAUGUGACAGAGGGAUGAAAGGGUUUCACUGCAGGCAACAUUUAAGUAGUGUGAAGUGUUCAAAGAAAGAUCAGUCACAGUAUUUAGUCUGUGAUCAAUUUAUAGAAUACAGAUUGCAUUUGAGAUUGGACAGGAUUAUACUUUUGACUCUGAAAAAAACCACUAAAAACUCACCUGUUCCUUUCAUUCUGGGAUUCAGUUUGGUCACUGAAGGGUAAGAAUGAAACAUUUUUAUGUUCUGAAAAGCUUGUGUCAAAAUCUGAACAGUAUUUCAACAGCCUGGUUCAUACACAGUGUACCUCUAAGCACCAGUAAGUGCAUUAGCUUCUGCAAGAAAAGAAAAUUCUACUGUUUCUUUUUCCAUCAAGUACAAUUUCAAGAAUGAAAUUAUAUUGUUAAAUCCAAGCAUUCUCCUAAUCUGGGGUCAGAGCAUUUCUUUGCUUAACAUGUCAAGGCGAAGUUACUUUUUCUUUUUUUCUGUGUUCCUUAAAUUAAAAGUGAAGAACUGAUGGAAGCUCUCUGUCUUGAAACAAAAGACAACCCAUGCCCUUCUCAGUGUGAACUGGACUAUUCAGAACAAGGAACCAUCUGAUCCCAAAACAAUCCUUUACUGUGGGAUGAACAAAACUUUCCUGGGCAGCAUGUGUCCUACUGCAUAUCUUUUAUGUAAUAUCCAAAAGCAACAAUGAAUUAUUUAAUUCCAAAGUAAUCACUCUAAGGGAGCUCAGAAGACAGCAAUUUCUACUUUUAUAAGUCAGAGAGAUGUGUGUUUCUUCAGUAUUUUAUUCAAUAAGCACAUCAGCAAAUGAAAUUUCCAGGAAAAUCUACACACAGCUCCCUAGAAAUAACAGUGCACACUUCCCUCCUCAGUUAUCUUUACCCAUUUGGUUUUCAUAUUCCCCAAGCAGCUUAUCCAGGCUUUUUUCCCCCUCUGUGAGUUUCCCAUUUUAAUUAAUUUAAUAAAUAAUGGACUGCAGGGGUGAUCUUGGAGAAAACUCCACAUCUCAGCUCUGCUGCACACCCAAGUUCACUGAAUGUCAUCGUCAUCAAAGAGAUCUUCAAAAUCUAGUCAGGAAAACAAGACAAAAAUGAACCUCAGAAGUUUCAGUGUUACAAAUGCACAUGCAAGUACAGUAGUUUGUUCCUUGGAUUCAGAAAUAAAGGUGAAUUCAGAGAAUGAGAGUUACUGCGCCAUCAGUUAUUAGAAAUGUAGCAUCAGGGUGAUGAUUUUGCAGACUAAUGAACCGGGAGUUGUGUUAAAAAGCCCCUCCUCAGAAACAUUUAAUUGCUCAAAAACACUUAAUUGUUUUGUGUUAAAAACCCCUUCCUCAAAACCAUUUAAUUGCUUUAAAUAACAUUUUUGUCCCAGAACACAUGUCCCAGUAGUGAAAUGGUUCCAGUCACAUUUGGAAUUACUCCUAACUACUCGGCCUUGCAUCUUCUUUGUGUGCUG